rnacentral:snRNA from 1 species
AGAACACUUGUAUAUUUGGU